GUCGUGUGAAGUCCUUGUGUAAUUCAAAGGGAAGAAUGCGAGCAGCGUCAACAGCAAUAUUCAUGAAAAAAAAGUAGAGUUACAACCGAUGCGGAAUAGGUACAUUUCUUGCAUCAGUUCCUUUUUUUAAAAAAAGAAAACCUGCACUGCUCCUAAGAGUCCGGGAGUAUCGGCAGUAUCAUGCGUUUCAAAACUUCUCUUGCAAAUGAGCCACAACAUAAGGACGUAGUGACAUGUGUUACGUGGAAUACUACCGAGGAAAUUUAUUCCUGUGGGGAUGAUCACGUUCUUCUGAAGUGGAAUCUCAUCACAAAUGAAACAACAAAAGUAACCGACUUUCCAAAUGACUUUUAUCCAACUGAUCUACAUUAUUUUCCAAAACUGCAGUCAUCUAUCAAAAAACAAGGACUGGACAUUUUACUUAUAAGUACAGCAGAUGGUAAAUUCCAUUUGGUCAACAAAAAUGGAAGAAUAGAGAAAUCAGUUGAUGCUCACAAAGGAGCCAUUUUUAGUGCUCGUUGGAGCUAUGAUGGUGCAGGGCUUCUAACAGCUGGAGAAGAUGGCCAAGUUAAAGUGUGGUCACGUAGUGGAAUGCUUAGGUCAACUGUCAUGCAUACUGACUGCCCCGUUUACUGUGCCUUGUGGAGUCCAGAUUCAAAUCAGAUUUUAUACACCUCAGGCAAGAACUUAACUAUUAAACCACUGGCACCAAAUAACAAGCCCCUCAAGUGGAAAGCACAUGAUGGAUUGAUUCUGAAAGCUGCAUGGAAUUCUAGCAACAAUCUCAUAGUCUCAGGUGGAGAAGAUUGCCGAUAUAAGGUGUGGGACACAUAUGGAAGACAGCUGUACUGCAGUUCAGUUCAUGACUAUCCUAUUACAUCUGUUUCGUGGACACCUGAAGGAGACUUAUUUGCUGUUGGUUCUUUCAAUACACUGAGACUGUGUGACAAAUGUGGAUGGUCCUAUUCUUUGGAGAAAGUCAGAACUGGAAGCCUAUUUAAUAUAUCGUGGUCAAGUGAUGGAACCCACAUUGCAGGUGCCUGUGGAAAUGGGCAUGUAAUAUUUGCUCACACUGUUGAGAGGAGGUUGGAAUGGAAGAAUUAUGAAGCAACGGUCACUGAUCGCAAAUCAAUUUCAGUUCAUAAUGUGAGUGAUGAUACUUGGGAAAAACUUGAAUUUCCAGAUCGAGUGAUCAGAUUAUCUUUUGGAUAUAACCAUUUGGUAGUGAUCACACCCACACAGUGCCAUAUUUACAGUACAAAGAACUGGAAUACGCCAGCCAUUUUUGAUCUACGAGAGGGAACAGUGUCUAUGCUGCUACUUGCCGAAAGACAUUUUGUUAUUGUUGGAAAGUCAUACUUCACAUUACAUGGUUAUGAUGGUCGAUUGCUGUGCUCUCCAAAAUGGGGAGGAAUGCAACCAGAAACUCUUAGCCCCAUGUUCGUCAGCACUAGCUGUGAUACACUGGCUGUCAGAGAUCAAGUAGAUGAUAGAGUUUUGCAUCUUUUUGAAAUAGGAAGUACUCGUUCUAUAGCAGAACUUCCAACUAUUUCACAUAGCAUGAGUGUCAUGGAGAUUGCCUUGAAUCAAGCAGGAUCUUCACUGAUGAGACAGCUUGCCAUUAUUGACAAAAAUCGUGAUUUGUAUGUGUCAACCAUAAGAGGAAUGGCAACACGAAAACUAAGAAAACUUGGAUCAAUGGUCCAAUGUCUGAGGUGGAAUUGUGAUGCCAAUAUUUUGGCUGCCAUUCAAGAUACAAGAUUGUCUGUCUGGUAUUAUCCUCCUGUUUUGCACAUUGAUAAGAGGCUUGUUAAGAAGACAGUGUUAGUAAAAGACAUCAGUGAAUUUGGAAAAACCCCAGUGAUUGUUAGUUUUGUAGGGAACCAUUUAGGCAUCAGACGUACUGAUGGCUCUUUGGUUAACUGCAGUAUUUCACCCUAUCCAUCAGUUCUACAUAACUAUGCUGCUUCUUCUAAUUGGAGUGAUGCUUUAAAACUAUGCCGACUUGUCAAGGAUCCAAUUUUAUGGGCUUGCCUUGCUGCUAUAGCAACACAUGCCAAAGAGUUAAAUACAGCUGAAGAAGCAUAUGCAGCUAUUGAUGAAGUGGAUAAAGUUCUCUAUAUCCAACGUAUUAAGGAAAUCCCAGUUGCAGCUGCUAAAGUAGCUGAAGUGUCACUGCUUGCUGGAAGUACACAAGAUGCCGAAAAUACACUACUGCAAAAUGGACUAAUAUACAGAGCUAUUAUGAUGAAUAUUGAUUUUUAUAAUUGGACAAGAGCAAUGGAACUGGCUAUAAAGCAUAAAACACACAUUGAUACUGUGUUAUACCACCGUCAAAAAUACUUAAAUGACUUUUCUAAAACUGAAACACUAGAAAUGUUCCUGCAGUUGCAUAAUGAGGUUGAGAUUGAUGAGGAGAAAAUAACAGCAAAAGAACGGAUGGAGCUUGAAGCUGAGCAGCAGAAUUACUCAAUAAAAUGAAGUUCCUGUUGUGAAGCAACUUGGUCCCAUUACGUGAAGCAUCAUGGCAUGUUGUAACACUGUGAGCUGGUAUGCGGAUGCUGCUUUCUGCCUGAAAUACUGUUAAUACCCACUUCUGUCUUUCAUUUCGAAUCGAAGACUUAUGUAAACAUUAUCAUUGCACCUGAAAUGGUAGUAAUGUAUCUGAAUAAAAAUGUG